UGGCACUGAGGGAUGUGGUCAGGGGGCAUGGUGGGAUGGGUCCUGCCACUUUGCUUUUAAGGUUCUUGAACAUCUCCAAGGACAGUGACCCCACUUGUUUCCUCCCCGCUUGCUUCCUCAUCCAUGUCUGUCCUCCGUGAUCCUCCAGCCUAUGGCCUGGCCAGGGAAAACAUCCACCUUCCUUCAGCUCUGAGAAUAAGUCAAAUGUUGGCUUAGAUCUUCUUUGGGAAGUGAACCACUGGAGUUCAUGUUCCUGUUGAAAAAUGUACUGGACA